rnacentral:lncRNA from 1 species
AUGGGUUCCUUAAAGAGCAGCCUGGCACAGGUGGGAAAGUGUCAGUACAUCUAAUUGUUGCUCAUAGGUAAACAGCUCCAGAUCUCUGAUGAACCUUUCUACCCUUUCCUGAAACUCUUCUAUUCCAAGACCAACUUUUUGAGAUGAUAGCACUGAUGUGCAAGCACGCCACAAGUUCUACAAACAAACACAUUCACUGCUCUGGAGGAGCAUAUGUGAACAGUAGUGAACUGCAAGUUGAAAUAGCUGGUGAGUAGGAAGAGAGAUUUGAAUACCAGCAACUGGAGCAGAGCCAUGAACCACCAGGACUCAAACAUCCAGGUGACAGCAACUGAGAAGACCUGGAGAUUUGAGAGCCUGCUACUGGAUAUCUAAGAUCAGUUUUUGGAAAAAAUGAUGAUGUUUGUGCCUAUUCCUAUAGCAACUUUAAUCCUUAUCAGCUG